GCUAAUUGGCGGCGGCCUCUUCAGAAAGGAAAGGGGAUACUGCUGCUAACUAACAUUUCAGGCAGUCUGAGCCAGAGGAACAGAGGAAAUUACAGAGCUCUGGGUGUCUGUUCUGUGAGGCUUUAAGAAAAUGCAAGUCAUGAUGAGCAGCUGCCUAGUAUGCAGCCAGUUGGGAAGGCUAAACUGAUUAGUCUGUAAACACUAGGAGAUGGUAAAUGAAUCUUGUUAUGUGAGGUCAUUGAGGAAACAGUCCCCUGCAACAGAGAGGAAGAAAGGCUGUUGGGAAAUAUACAGGUAGGAAAACUUUAUGGACCACCAGGUGGUAAAAAAAAUGGUG
rnacentral:lncRNA from 1 species